GAUGAACGCUGGCGGCGUGCCUAAUACAUGCAAGUCGAGCGAACAGACGAGGAGCUUGCUCCUCUGACGUUAGCGGCGGACGGGUGAGUAACACGUGGAUAACCUACCUAUAAGACUGGGAUAACUUCGGGAAACCGGAGCUAAUACCGGAUAAUAUAUUGAACCGCAUGGUUCAAUAGUGAAAGACGGUUUUGCUGUCACUUAUAGAUGGAUCCGCGCCGCAUUAGCUAGUUGGUAAGGUAACGGCUUACCAAGGCAACGAUGCGUAGCCGACCUGAGAGGGACAUCGGCCACACUGGAACGGAGACACGGUCCAGACUCCUACGGGAGGCAGCAGUAGGGAAUCUUCCGCAAUGGGCGAAAGCCUGACGGAGCAACGCCGCGUGAGUGAUGAAGGUCUUCGGAUCGUAAAACUCUGUUAUUAGGGAAGAACAAAUGUGUAAGUAACUAUGCACGUCUUGACGGUACCUAAUCAGAAAGCCACGGCUAACUACGUG
rnacentral:rRNA from 1 species